rnacentral:rRNA from 1 species
UUGAAAGGGAAACGAUUGAAGUCAGUCGUACCGGCGGGUAAUCAGCCUUUUGGGUGUGAUUAUGUGGAGCGUGAGGAGUUAAUCACCCUCAUCUUUGCAUAUUCGUGCACUUUGGGUGUACUUGCUCGUGUGGUAGGUUAACAUCAAUUUUGAUCGUCAUAAAAUGAUUGGGGGAAUGUAGCUUCGAUCUCGUAUUGAAGUGUUAUAGCCUUCGGUAGAUGUGAUGAUUGGGAUUGAGGAUUGCAACGGAUACCCUUCGGGGCUACCUGUCUGAUCUCUGAAAGUUGCUCUGGUGCUGAAAGCUUGCUUACGGUAUCAAAGUUGACGUUCAACAGGUUAGAACGGGUUAAAUUCGUUAAGGAUGUUGACGUA